rnacentral:rRNA from 1 species
GACGAACGCUGGCGGCGUGCUUAACACAUGCAAGUCGAACGGAAAGGCCCUGCUUUUGUGGGGUGCUCGAGUGGCGAACGGGUGAGUAACACGUGAGUAACCUGCCCUUGACUUUGGGAUAACUUCAGGAAACUGGGGCUAAUACCGCAUAGGAGCUCCUGCUGCAUGGUGGGGGUUGGAAAGUUUCGGCGGUUGGGGAUGGACUCGCCGCUUAUCAGCUUGUUGGUGGGGUAGUGGAUUACCAAGGCUAUGACGGGUAGCCGGCCUGAGAGGGUAACCUGACACGCCAGGAUGGAGAUGCGGCCCAGACUCGUCUGGGACGCAGGAGAGGGGAAGAUAGUACUAUGGGAGGAGGGAUGGUGUAGCAACGCCGCGUGGGGGAUGACGGCAUGCCGGUUGUGAAGCGCUGUCGUCUGUGACGAGGUGUGAGUGACGGUAAUGGGUGAAUAAGCACCGGCUAACUCCGUG